CCACAGGCUCCCUGGCCUGGGUGCUGUACCAGGCAGGGUGCUGGGCAUUGUGCUGCUCACUUCCCACCCCUGGGUUGCAACUGGGGGCUGUGUGGCCUUCCCAGUCCUGUUGUGGGUGCUGUGAUUGUGCCCACCUUACAGAUGGGAAAACUGAUGCUCAGAGGCUUGAGCAACCUAGGCCAGGACCUGUCCUUAGAGGCAGAAGCAGGACUCAGAGGAAGAGCACCCUGACCACAAAGCCCCAGGGUCCAGAAAGACUCAGCCACUGGAGUCUGUAUUUCCUGAGUCGCCUCUCACUGCUGGAGCUGUUUAUCAUCGCUCCAACUUUCACUAAAAAGGAAAAACUAUCACUUAAACAAAGCCAUUGAAACCCCAGCAUCAUGUGUGGAUUUUUUAACAUAAAUAAAUCAUACAAACUAAGAUUUAUGUUCUUGGAAUGAUGUCAUUCAUUGAAGGCUGCCUUCCCAAUCAAAGCCGUGUUUAGUGAUUUUUCUUUAGUGGGUGUG
rnacentral:lncRNA from 10 species